rnacentral:rRNA from 1 species
GGGCCCGCGUACCAUUAGCUAGUUGGUAGGGUAAUGGCCUACCAAGGCGACGAUGGUUAGCUGGUCUGAGAGGAUGAUCAGCCACACUGGAACUGGAACACGGUCCAGACUCCUACGGGAGGCAGCAGUGAGGAAUUUUGCGCAAUAGGGGAAACCCUGACGCAGCAACGCCGCGUGAGUGAAGAAGGCCUUCGGGUCGUAAAGCUCUGUCAAGUGGGACAUGAUGGUACCGCUAGAGGAAGCACCGGCUAACUCCGUGCCAGCAGCCGCGGUCAUACGGAGGGUGCAAGCGUUGUUCGGAAUUACUGGGCGUCCAGAGCGUGUAGGCGGUUUGGUAAGUCAGAUGUGAAAGCCCUUGGCUCAAACCCGGGAGUGCAUUUGAAACUGCCAUGCUAGAGUAUGGGAGAGGAGAGUGGUAUUCCCAGUGUAGAGGUGAAAUUGUAGAU